GAAUGUGUGGGUGAUCUGGCUGUGACAUCUGUCACCCUAUGGAUCUCCAGGGUCGGUUUGGCUGAUCUGACUGUCUAGGCGGGUGUCCCCUUCCUCCCUCUGCUCUAUGUGUGUCCUUCCCAAAGCUGCACAUUCAAUUGAAGAGCAUGACCUUCCCUGAUAGAAGAGGACUGUUCUUUGGUCAAGGGUAGAUGAGUAGCUGUGCUCCCCUGUUAGAACAUCCAAACAAGAAUGUUAAAGAACAGUUAAAAGAAAAAAAAAUGCAACAAUCAAAUGUUAACAAGCCACAUAGACCACAGAACAUUUCAUUAGGGAAAUAGCUUCCUUA
rnacentral:snRNA from 1 species